CCUACGGGAGGCAGCAGUAAGGAAUAUUGGUCAAUGGAGGCAACUCUGAACCAGCCAUGCCGCGUGCAGGAAGACGGCCCUAUGGGUUGUAAACUGCUUUUGCACGGGAGAAAACCCUUUCACGUGUGAGAGGUUGAUAGUACCGUAAGAAUAAGCAUCGGCUAACUUCGUGCCAGCAGCCGCGGUAAU
rnacentral:rRNA from 1 species